rnacentral:rRNA from 1 species
ACGAACGCUGGCGGCAUGGAUUAGGCAUGCAAGUCGAACGGUUUAUGCGCCGCAAGGUGUAUAGAUAGUGGCGAAAGGGUGAGGAACACGUGAGUAACCUACCCUUAAGUGGGGGAUAACUUGCCGAAAGGCAGGCUAAUACCGCAUGUGCUGGUAAGCGCUAGCUUAUCAGCAAAGCUUUUGCGCUUGAGGAGGGGCUUGCGUCUGAUUAGAUAGUUGGUAGGGUAAUGGCCUACCAAGUCGAUGAUCAGUAGCUGGUCUGAGAGGACAACCAGCCAGACGGGGACUGAGAUACGGCCCUGACUCCUACGGGAGGCAGCAGCAAGGAAUUUUGCGCAAUGGGCGAAAGCCUGACGCAGCGACGCCGCGUGGGGGAUGACGGCCUUCGGGUUGUAAACCCCUUUUCAUGAGGAAGAAAUAUGACGGUACUCGUGGAAUAAGUCUUGGCUAACUACGU